UACGGAGGAUGCAAGCGUUAUCCGGAAUCACUGGGCGUAAAGCGUCUGUAGGUGGUCAAAUAAGUCAACUGUUAAAUCUUGAGGCUCAACCUCAAAAUCGCAGUCGAAACUAUUAGACUAGAGUAUAGUAGGGGUAAAGGGAAUUUCCAGUGGAGAGGUGAAAUGCGUAGAGAUUGGAAAGAACACCGAUGGCGAAGGCACUUUACUGGGCUAUUACUAACACUCAGAGACGAAAGCUAGGGUAGCAAAUGGG
rnacentral:rRNA from 1 species